rnacentral:rRNA from 1 species
GAGUAGGGCGGGACACGUGGUAUCCUGUCUGAAUAUGGGGGGACCAUCCUCCAAGGCUAAAUACUCCUGACUGACCGAUAGUGAACCAGUACCGUGAGGGAAAGGCGAAAAGAACCCCGGCGAGGGGAGUGAAAAAGAACCUGAAACCGUGUACGUACAAGCAGUGGGAGCCUCUUAAUGGGGUGACUGCGUACCUUUUGUAUAAUGGGUCAGCGACUUAUAUUCUGUAGCAAGGUUAACCGAAUAGGGGAGCCGAAGGGAAACCGAGUCUUAACUGGGCGUUAAGUUGCAGGGUAUAGACCCGAAACCCGGUGAUCUAGCCAUGGGCAGGUUGAAGGUUGGGUAACACUAACUGGAGGACCGAACCGACUAAUGUUGAAAAAUUAGCGGAUGACUUGUGGCUGGGGGUGAAAGGCCAAUCAAACCGGGAGAUAGCUGGUUCUCCCCGAAAGCUAUUUAGGUAGCGCCUCGUGAAUUCAUCUCCGGGGGUAGAGCACUGUUUCGGCAAGGGGGUCAUCCCGACUUACCAACCCGAUGCAAACUGCGAAUACCGGAGAAUGUUAUCACGGGAGACACACGGCGGGUGCUAACGUCCGUCGUGAAGAGGGAAACAACCCAGACCGCCAGCUAAGGUCCCAAAGUCAUGGUUAAGUGGGAAACGAUGUGGGAAGGCCCAGACAGCCAGGAUGUUGGCUUAGAAGCAGCCAUCAUUUAAAGAAAGCGUAAUAGCUCACUGGUCGAGUCGGCCUGCGCGGAAGAUGUAACGGGGCUAAACCAUGCACCGAAGCUGCGGCAGCGACACUAUGUGUUGUUGGGUAGGGGAGCGUUCUGUAAGCCUG